GCCUGGAUGGCUCAGUUGGUUAAGUGCCUGACUUCAGCUCAGGAUCUCACAAGUUGUGGGUUUGAGCCCACAUCAGGCU
rnacentral:tRNA from 1 species